UACGGAGGGUGCGAGCGUUGUCCGGAAUCACUGGGCGUAAAGGGCGCGUAGGUGGCGACUCAAGUCAACGGUGAAAGCUCGACGCUCAACGUCGAGUCGGCCGUCGAAACUGGGACGCUUGAGCACUGUAGAGGCAGAUGGAAUUCCGGGUGUAGCGGUGGAAUGCGUAGAGAUCCGGAAGAACACCGGUGGCGAAGGCAAUCCCCUGGCCUGUACUGACGCUCAUGCACGAAAGCGUGGGGAGCAAACAGG
rnacentral:rRNA from 1 species